CGAAAGGAACGCUAAUACCGCAUACGUCCUACGGGAGAAAGCAGGGGACCUUCGGGCCUUGCGCUAUCAGAUGAGCCUAGGUCGGAUUAGCUAGUAGGUGAGGUAAUGGCUCACCUAGGCGACGAUCCGUAACUGGUCUGAGAGGAUGAUCAGCCACACUGGUACUGAGACACGGACCAGACUCCUACGGGAGGCAGCAGUGAGGAAUAUUGGACAAUGGGCGCAAGCCUGAUCCAGCCAUGCCGCGUGCAGGAUGACGGUCCUAUGGAUUGUAAACUGCUUUGUACAGGAAGAAACACUACUUCGUGAAGUAGCUAGACGGUACUGUAAGAAUAAGGAUCGGCUAACUCCGUG
rnacentral:rRNA from 1 species